rfam:Oryza punctata chromosome 5, whole genome shotgun sequence.
AAUAAGUGCAGUUUUGCACUGUUUAUGUCUAACGUUUGACCGUCCUUCUUAUUUGAAAAAAAAUUAUAAUUAAUAUUUUUGUUGUUAUUAGUGAUAAAAUAUGAAUAAUACUUUAUGUGUGACCAAUUUUUUUUAGUUUUUUUCAUAAAUUUUUCAAAUAAGACGGACGGUCAAACGUUGGACACGGAAACCCACGGCUGCACUUAUU